rnacentral:rRNA from 1 species
AUGCGAUACUUGGUGUGAAUUGCAGAAUCCCGUGAACCAUCGAGUCUUUGAACGCAAGUUGCGCCCGAGGCCUUUGGUCGAGGGCACGUCUGCCUGGGCGU